CUUCCUAUAAUUUAAGCAAUGAAAAAACAAAUAAUACAUCUUCAUCAUUUUAAAUUAUAGGUUAAACCAAAAGAAUUUACAAUAGGAAGAAAAAUAAGGUGAAAACUGGAAAGAUGGAUCCAGAUUAUUGACGUCCAAAGAGUAAAAGAGUACACAAACCAUUAGAAAGGUGGUCGAGACAAUAAGAGUAGAUACGAAAUCCAGAGUCUUAAAAGACAUUAUAGAAAUUAGAGAAGAAGAUGGUAACGCCGCUCGCUAUCUGCACCGACACCAUUCUUGAAAUCGACCGACGAAGAAGAAGGCUCGGUGAAAAGAGAUGGCUGGAAAAUUACUUCCACUUCUUGAAUUUUCCUCCGCCAAACAUCCCGUGUUUCCCAUGUUUGUGUUUCCCAAACUUUCCGUGCUUGAACUUCCCAUGGUGCUUGAAUUUUCCACCGUGACCGUGACCAUGACCAUAAUGAGCAACACCAUGGGGGUAAUGAUGACCAGCGCUAUGGGCCACGUGAUGAGCUCCAUAUGCCGCUGCUGCAGCUGCAGCACCUCCGGCGAGCAUUCCUGCUACACCGUGCCCUGAAUUUAAAAAGAUUUGGAAUCAGCAACUUUGUAAGAAGAUCUUCUAUCAAAACCAUCAAUUGAAUCCCUUAUGUGACAACUUUGUACUUGUAUGAGAUUGUUUUUAAAAAGCCAUAGUAGGGAGCAAAAAUCCAUCACAAGAACAAUGGAGAUAACAUCAAAAUUUCUAAAAUGAAAUGUUUCAAAAGCCUUAUUACAACCUAAAAGUGCCUGGGUUAUAGAUGGUCUAACAAAAUUAUCUAAAUUAUUAUUAAUUCCUGCAUUCUAAUUGACAAAGUAAUUGAAGUAAUUAACUAAAUUAACAACUUAACUAAACAAACCAUCUAAUAAUAAUAAUAAUAAUAAUAAUACACUUCCCAGUGAUGUAUGUAAAAAAUUGGAUCAAUACCUGAAUGGUGUGGAGCAGAGGGUCCAGGAUAAGCACCAGGAGGAUGAGCGCCUGGAGGGUAGCCAGCUGGGGGAUAUCCUUGGGGUGGAUAGCCAUGAGAUGGAGGAUAUCCUCCGGGUGGGGGAUACCCUCCAGGAGGUGGAUACCCUCCAGGAGGUGGAUACCCGCCAGGAGGUGGGUAUCCAUGGGAAGGAUAUCCAGCUCCAUGGGCAACACCAUGAGCCAGAUGGGAGAAUAAACCUUUGUCAGAUUCAUCAUGUUUAUCUUUUCCACCCCCCAUGAUUUAUCAGCUUCUAAUAA
rnacentral:lncRNA from 1 species